rnacentral:rRNA from 1 species
AGCUUCAGCAGCAUCUAUUAAAGUUGCUGCGGUUAAAAGGCUCGCAGUUGAAUGUCUGUAUCGAGCGCAGGUCAGGUGGACGUUGGGGCGUGGAAGUACGGGCUGUUGGAUGUUCGGAGGGCUUCGUGCUCGACGGCUCCUUCGGCUUUUCCACACACCCCCGUCCGUAACAAGCCUCCUCGCUCGGGUACAUAACGGGAAUCGGUCAAACGGAGUGUGGUUGCUUUUGGAGGUUAACGCUUUCAGGAGUGGCUACGUUAAGCUCCAUCGGUUUCACGGUCACCUUGAGUAAAUCAGAGUGCUCAAAGCAGUCGUAGGGGCCUUGCGCCCUGUGAACAGUCUUGACGGACUGACUUGGUUUUGCAUGGCAUGUCGGAAGACGACGUCGUGUGCUGGCUCAGAGGAUAAAUCAGUGGUACAAGCCAGCCUCGACGUAAUGAUUAAAAGGGACGGUCGAGGGCAUUGGUAUUGCGAGGCGAGAGGUGAAAUUCUGUGACCCCCGCAAGACCUCCUGAAGCGAAAGCGUCUGCCAAGGACGUUUUCA